UGGGGAAUAUUGCACAAUGGGCGAAAGCCUGAUGCAGCAACGCCGCGUGAGUGAUGAAGGUCUUCAGAUUGUAAAGCUCUGUCUUUUGGGACGAUAAUGACGGUACCAAAGGAGGAAGCCACGGCUAACUACGUGCCAGCAGCCGCGGUAAUACGUAGGUGGCGAGCGUUGUCCGGAUUUACUGGGCGUAAAGGGUGCGUAGGCGGAUGUUUAAGUGAGAUGUGAAAUACCCGGGCUUAACUUGGGUGCUGCAUUUCAAACUGGAUAUCUAGAGUGCAGGAGAGGAGAAUGGAAUUCCUAGUGUAGCGGUGAAAUGCGUAGAGAUUAGGAAGAACACCAGUGGCGAAGGCGAUUCUCUGGACUGUAACUGACGCUGAGGCACGAAAGCGUGGGUAGCAAACAGGAUUAGAUACCCUGGUAGUCCACGCCGUAAACGAUGAGUACUAGGUGUAGGAGGUAUCGACCCCUUCUGUGCCGCAGUAA
rnacentral:rRNA from 1 species